UCAUCGGUAGCUUAAUGGUUAGAGCAGUCUGCCGGAAACAGAAAGACGCGGGUUCAAUUCCCGUCCGAUGCC
rfam:Nippostrongylus brasiliensis genome assembly, scaffold: NBR_scaffold0000423